rnacentral:rRNA from 1 species
CUCAUACGGGAGGCAGCAGUGGGGAAUAUUGCACAAUGGGCGCAAGCCUGAUGCAGCCAUGCCGCGUGUAUGAAGAAGGCCUUCGGGUUGUAAAGUACUUUCAGCAGUGAGGAAGGUGGGUAUGUUAAUAGCAUACUCAUUUGACGUUAGCUGCAGAAGAAGCACCGGCUAACUCCGUGCCAGCAGCCGCGGUAAUACGGAGGGUGCGAGCGUUAAUCGGAAUUACUGGGCGUAAAGCGCAUGCAGGUGGUUUGUUAAGUCAGAUGUGAAAGCCCGGGGCUCAACCUCGGAAUUGCAUUUGAAACUGGCAAACUAGAGUACUGUAGAGGGGGGUAGAAUUUCAGGUGUAGCGGUGAAAUGCGUAGAGAUCUGAAGGAAUACCGGUGGCGAAGGCGGCCCCCUGGACAGAUACUGACACUCAGAUGCGAAAGCGUGGGGAGCAAACAGGAUUAGAUACCCUGGUAGGCUGUGC